rnacentral:lncRNA from 1 species
CCUUUUAAAGAAGUGUGCUUCAUUUAUCCAGGAUUUCAGAUUAGGAGAAUAUCUUAACUACCAGAGAAUUUAUUUGCAGCAAAGCUCGUUAGAAGUUAAAAACUUGAAAGUAAGCAUGUUUUAAAAUUUUCAAUUGAUAUAUAAAGAGGAAAUUAUUACAAAAUAUUAAUGCAUACCGUUCUCUGCUCUGUAGGAGAAGCAUUUGCAAGUGCAGAAGCCAAAGCCCCAAUUGGAAUGUGCUGAGACAUAGCCGGAUCACGCAAUUGCAUGCCACCCAUAUCAUACGGAACAGAAAGCAUUCCUCCAGCCAUACCAGACAUGGAAACAUCUGGCAUGCCACGACCUGGCGGGUAACGAUAGACACGCCCCCUUGGAAGCAUCUGUUGUCCAAACA